CAAUCACUGUGUGGUCUUUAUUCCCGAAUAACGUUAUAGGCUGGAUUCCAGUCAAUUGGUUAGAACAGAGGGUUUUGAUGACAAGUUAAAGAACAUUUGAGAUGAGAACGCUUACCUGCUUCCCAGUAACAAGGCCAAUAUGCUGGCACACAUUCCUGAAGUUAGGAAUCAUUAAUAAUUUAUAGGUUUACUUUGCUGUUGGAUACGAAGCAUGAUAAACUAAGCAGGGAGAAAACUGUAUAAGUUCCAUCUCCAUAACAACGAAGAUGAGAACAAUUACAAGAGACCCUUGCCAGCCACCUCCACAAAAUCAGUUUUAACCUCAGAGCAAUGAGGAGUGACAUAGCAAACUACGUCUGAUGUCUGAACAACACAGGGCAUUGGGCCAGCAGGAAAGUUUCAUUGUAUUGAGCAGCAGGGACUGGACAUCUCCAACUGCAGCCAAAUUCUGCAGAUUAUUGAGAAAACAGUUUGCAAAGGAGUGAGAAAACGUCAUUCAAGAAAACUUUCCUGGUUUGGGUGGACAUAGCCGAAGUGGAUUUGAAUAUCUGUCUUUACAAGUCAAAAUUUAUACCAGGAAGCUCUAAUGAAAAUGGUGUCACUCAACAAAUCUAUAAGUAAAUUCAUUCUAAAGACUUAAUGAAUUCAUUCCCAACAUCUGGAACAUUAUUAAUUUCCUUUCAUUCUCUGCAACCUACAUAAUUAAAUUAAGAAAUUAUAAUUUAGGUCAGCCUGUUGUGAAGAGAUUUUAUUUAACGUAAUCAGUCUUUAGAAGAGCCUGUUCCUAGUCACCUUUGUUGCCCUUUCAAGA
rnacentral:lncRNA from 1 species